GAGGGUGUAGCUCAGUGGCAGAGUGCAUGCUUAGCAUGCAUGAGGUCCUGGGUUCAAUCCCCAGUACCUCCA
rnacentral:tRNA from 1 species